ACCUGCCGGCCGCGGUAUUUUGACCGUGCGAAGGUAGCAUAAUCAUUAGUCUCUUAAUUAGAGGCUGGAAUGAAUGGUUAAACGAGAAAGACUCUGUCUUAGAAUUUUAUUUUUAAGUGAAAAAGCUUAAAUAAACCUGAAGGACGAUAAGACCCUAUAGAGCUUUUUUGUUGGGGCGACAGUUGUUGAUCCUUAAAGAAAGAUCAUAUGAACAAGUUACCUUAGGGAUAACAGCGUAAUCCUUUCCGAGAGUUCUCAUCAACGAAAGGGUUUGCGACCUCGAUGUUGGAUUAAGAGUUCACUGAGGUGCAGCAGCUUCAGUGGAAGGUCUGUUCGACCUUUAAUAUCUU
rnacentral:rRNA from 1 species